rnacentral:sRNA from 1 species
UCAAGAAUAUGGCUAAGCAAGCAAAGAU